CCUACGGGGUGCUGCAGUGAGGAAUAUUGGUCAAUGGACGAGAGUCUGAACCAGCCAAGUAGCGUGAAGGAUGAUUGCCCUAUGGGUUGUAAACUUCUUUUAUAAAGGAAUAAAACGAGGCACGUGUGCCUUUUUGCAUGUACUUUAUGAAUAAGGAUCGGCUAACUCCGUGCCAGCAGCAGCGGUAAUACGGAGGAUCCGAGCGUUAUCCGGAUUUAUUGGGUUUAAAGGGAGCGUAGAUGGGUUGUUAAGUCAGUUGUGAAUGUUUGCGGCUCAACCGUAAAAUUGCAAUUGAUACUGGCAGUCUUGAGUACAGUUGAGGUAGGCGGAAUUCGUGGUGUAGCGGUGAAAUGCUUAGAUAAAACGAAGAACCCAGAUUGCGAAGGCAGCUUAAUAAACUGUGACUGACAUUGAUGCUCGAGAGUGUGAGUAUCAAACAGGAGUAGAUACCCGGGUAGUC
rnacentral:rRNA from 1 species